GGAUCGGGGUUUAUAUAACGCUAUGCAAUCGACUCUGUUUCACGUGGUUUUAGCAUUUACUUUCGUAUAGCGCUUAGCCGCCUGUGAUUUCAUUGUGAAAUGACAAUGCGAAGAAAUGGUUGCAAGGCGACUCCAACAUCACCAAGAGGGAACACAUGGCCACCGUAUCGUCCCUUUUACCGGGAAACCGUAAAUUGAGGAAAAAAAAAAAGUUCACUUACCAGUGGCUUCCUGCGGUCUGAUGCCUGUCUCACGUGAAGAAGAAGCCGGACGGGCAGAUGGAAAGAGUUCCCCCAUAUGCAUUGAAUGGCCUGCUAAACAAAAUUAAACAUUUAUUUAUUGUGGUGCUCCAGGGGCCUUGCAGCAUUACAUAGAGAAAGCAAAUGUUCAGCUUUUUUCAGCAACAGAAACAUAUUCACGCAAGGAGCUGUUGUGUUGUCUUUAAACUAUAUAUCACUGACAAGCAGGCGUCAUGCCAAGGACCAAUCUCACCUGCUGUCACUGAUGAACGGCUGAGGGGCACUGCAGGAAUUGCUGUUUUCCUCAGUGUUCGUCUUGGCAAACCGUGUUUUGGAUCCCACCCAAUGACAGUGUGCAGCUGAAGGUGCCUGUUUGGUGCUCGGCGCGGCUCUCAGCACGUGAUAUACAUGGAUAUAAGGCCAGGUUCCCACGAGGGACUGGACCGGGAGUGAAAUCUGCUUUGGUGCGGUGGAGUCAUGUGGACUGAGGAGCCCGGUCCCAACUGGGCAUUCACACGGGAUGAUGCAUGCGGUCCUGCAAUGUGGUUGAACAGAAAAACUAGACGUUUUGUAUGUUGUGGUACGUUUGAUCUCAAACACUCCACAGUGCAGGAAACCGUUGCACCAGCAAAAAUAGAAAAGAAACUGCUAGCGUUUCAUAACAGUCAUGAUCAUAAUUUAUAUGUUGUUGUUGUUGCUGCAUAGUAAGGUGUGCAUUUCCACGCAGUGCCUUUGUGGGUAUCGUAUUAGGAGAUCCACUUGCUCGUAUUAAACCCUCAUUCUUUUUUU